UACAGAGGGGGCAAGCGUUGUUCGGAAUUACUGGGCGUAAAGGGCGCGUAGGCGGCCGCCUAAGUCAGACGUGAAAUCCCUCGGCUCAACCGGGGAACUGCAUCCGAUACUGGAUGGCUUGAAUCCGGGAGAGGGAUGCAGAAUUCCAGGUGUAGCGGUGAAAUGCGUAGAUAUCUGGAGGAACAUCAGUGGCGAAGGCGACACCCUGGACUCAUACUGACACUGAGGUGCGAAAGCGUGGGGAGCAAACAGG
rnacentral:rRNA from 1 species